GACAGAGGUGCCAAGCGUUAGGCGGAAUUACUGGGCGUAAAGCGUGCGCAGGCGGUUGUGCAAGACAGAUGUGAAAUCCCCGGGCUCAACCUGGGAAUUGCGCUUGUGACUGGCGAGCUGGAGUGUGGCAGAGGGAGGUGGAAUUCCACGCGUAGCAGUGAAAUGCGUAGAGAUGUGGAGGAACACCGAUGGCGAAGGCAGCCUCCUGGGCCAGCACUGACGCUCAUGCACGAAAGCGUGGGGAGCAAACAGG
rnacentral:rRNA from 1 species